rnacentral:rRNA from 1 species
GACAGAGGAUGCAAGCGUUAUCCGGAAUGAUUGGGCGUAAAGCGUCUGUAGGUGGCUUUUAAGUCCGCCGUCAAAUCCCAGGGCUCAACCCUGGACAGGCGGUGGAAACUACCAAGCUGGAGUACGGUAGGGCAGAGGAAUUCCGGUGGAGCGGUGAAAUGCGUAGAGAUCGGAAAGAACACCAACGGCGAAAGCACUCUGCUGGGCCGACACUGACACUGAGAGACGAAAGCUAGGGGAGCGAAUGG